UACGUAGGGGGCGAGCGUUGUCCGGAUUUAUUGGGCGUAAAGAGCGUGUAGGCGGCCAGGUAGGUCAGCUGUGAAAACUCGAGGCUCAACCUCGAGAUGUCGGCUGAAACCAUCUGGCUAGAGUCCGGAAGAGGAGAAUGGAAUUCCCGGUGUAGCGGUGAAAUGCGCAGAUAUCGGGAAGAACACCCGUGGCGAAGGCGGUUCUCUGGGACGGUACUGACGCUGAGACGCGAAAGCGUGGGGAGCGAACAGG
rnacentral:rRNA from 1 species